GUCAGAUAAUCCUUCUCCUGGACGUGAGCCUCAUGCCGCCCCUUAGCCGCAUCUUACCAGACCUCACUCUGCCCCUCGGGCAGGUGCGGCCGGGACAGGUGUUCCGGAACCGCCUGGCCCGGGGUCGCCUUUGGUCCCGCCGCGCCCUGCCGCGCGGAGUACGCCGGGAGCUGCCAGCUUCGCCCCGCCCCUCAGAGCACCGCCCCGCCCCUCAGAGCACCGCCCCGCCCCUCAGAGCACCGCCCCGCGCGUCAAGCAUGCCGGGAGUGGGCAGACGCACCUCCUCGCGGGCUGCUCGGCGCGCGGAGCUUGCCGGGAGAGAGGGAUGUGGGGAACAGGGGAUUCCCCCACCUCUCCUUCGGCAGUAAGCGUGUCCCCAGAAGCCAUUUAUGUGCCAAAGCAGCAGACACAAGAGUGACUUCAAAGCACAUGGACAUACCCCACUCCACCCAUACAUUAGUGAUCCACCACCUUUACCUUCCCCCGUAGCCACACCCCAAAUGCCCCUGACUACUCCCCCGGGGGAUGUGUAACAGGAGGGAGCGGCUCUGAGUGAUGGCAGCUGUUGGCGGGGGCGGAGUUCAAGGGAAGACGGGUGGGCACCUUUGCACUGCCAAGCCACCGGUUCACUCUAAUUUUGCCUCGUUCAUUUGGUGGGGUUGCACCUGCUCCUCCUCCUGCCCCUUCCGCCACCGUCCUCCAGCACACACAGGGAAGUUCCUGGGUUUGUGGGUGCCCCCCCAAAGCCCUCCUCUGGACAAGGGGAGGGUCCUUGGCCCUGAGCAGAGUUCUCCUGGGGGCCCUCCCCACCCUGUCCACACGCAGCCUUGGUCAAGCUGAUCCUUGCGCCACAGGCCGCUUCCUGAGGAACAGAAGGGUGGGAGGANNNNNNNNNNNNNNNNNNNNNNNNNNNNNNNNNNNNNNNNNNNNNNNNNNNNNNNNNNNNNNNNNNNNNNNNNNNNNNNNNNNNNNNNNNNNNNNNNNNGGCCGCUUCCUGAGGAACAGAAGGGUGGGAGGACCUGGUCAGGUCCCAGGCCAGCUGCCCUUAACCUGUCUGUCCACUGACAGGCUGGGUUUGCGGGGAGAUGCGGGAGGGGAAGGGUAGAAGAAAACUGGGAAGAAAGGCGAGUGGGCCUUGGCUGGGGCGGAGGGGGGGCGGGGGGAGGGCGGUGGGGUGGGAACAGGCGCCGGUCCUCUGGCUGACGUGCUGUGUGACACUGGGGAGGCCGCCUACGUUACCUCUCUGAGCCUCAGUUUCCCCUUGAAAGUAAGGCUGCUAGUCCCUCCCUUGCAGGGUUGUUGUGAGGAUAACACGAGGUAGCGUCGGGGGAAAUUGCUUUGGAGAUUGGGAAAGGUCACUCGAGCUGCAGAGCCUCUGGCUAAGGGGGACAGGAGCCCCGGAGGGCCCCAGACACAGGCCCCAGGGGCCUUGCCUGGGAGGGGAAGCCGCUCGGGCCUUUACUCAAAGCUGACCCUGCCUUAGGCGGAGCAGCAGCUGUGCUGCCCGCCAGAGCCCUGGCCCGAGCUCGGGGGCAGGGGGCGCGGCUCCCCAGGCUGCAGGAAAAGCCUGGAAAACAGAGGGGCUGCUGUAGGGGCAUAGCCCUGGGGCUGCAGAGGCUGGGGGGCCUGACAGUCGGCACAGCAGCGAUCGGGCAGCCGUGGGGCCCGGCCGGGCCGUGAGGAGCAGGGGGCCACCUCCACAGGGGGCAGCGGGGUGGGGCUGGUGGGCCCCAGUGGGGUGGGCACAGGGCCGGCUUGCUGCCCCCCCCACGAUGGAUGGUCUUCCGCACCUGGUACCUGGCGUGAGCCCCUCCGAUCCCACCCUGCUCCCUGUCGCCUCCGCGAUCUGAACACAUUCUGCCUCUGUUGGUGUGUGCAGAGAGGCCCCGUUAAGAAACCAAACAAGCUGACUUGAAGUGAUAGUUUGGGGUUCGUCUCCAGCAGAGGAAACUGGUGACAACGGGUUGAGGGGGCGACAGUGGUCAGAGGGGCUUUGCAGCAUGAAGAGGGGGAGGAGGCGGCCGGGGGUGGGGGGCGUGGCGAGGCGGCGGGAGGACCGGUCUGCAGCCGGCCUGGGGCCUGGGGCGCUGCCCAGAGACCCUCACCUGCCGGGCACUUUGCUCCACUUCACUCCAACCGGAGCAAGGAGGGCCGUGGGAACCCACGCGGCAGGGCGGGCCAGGUCCCCAGAGAGG
rnacentral:lncRNA from 1 species